rnacentral:rRNA from 1 species
UACAGAGGGUGCGAGCGUUAAUCGGAAUUACUGGGCGUAAAGCGUGCGUAGACGGUUGCGUAAGUCGGAUGUGAAAUCCCCGGGCUCAACCUGGGAAUUGCAUUCGAGACUGCGUAGCUGGGGUGCGGAAGAGGGAAGCGGAAUUUCCGGUGUAGCGGUGAAAUGCGUAGAUAUCGGAAGGAACAUCAGUGGCGAAAGCGGCUUCCUGGUCCAGCACCGACGUUCAGGCACGAAAGCGUGGGGAGCAA